AUGGAUAUGUUGGAAUUGGUAGACAAGCUGCACUAAGGCUGUGGUAUAUUUAAUAUGUGUACGUUCAAGUCGUAUUAUCCAUA
rnacentral:tRNA from 1 species